rnacentral:rRNA from 1 species
GGGUUGUGAGGUUAAGCGACUAAGCGUACACGGUGGAUGCCCUGGCAGUCAGAGGCGAUGAAGGACGUGCUAAUCUGCGAUAAGCGUCGGUAAGGUGAUAUGAACCGUUAUAACCGGCGAUUUCCGAAUGGGGAAACCCAGUGUGAUUCGUCACACUAUCAUUAACUGAAUCCAUAGGUUAAUGAGGCGAACCGGGGGAACUGAAACAUCUAAGUACCCCGAGGAAAAGAAAUCAACCGAGAUUCCCCCAGUAGCGGCGAGCGAACGGGGAGCAGCCCAGAGCCUGAAUCAGUGUGUGUGUUAGUGGAAGCGUCUGGAAAGGCGCGCGAUACAGGGUGACAGCCCCGUACACAAAAAUGCACAUGCUGUGAGCUCGAUGAGUAGGGCGGGACACGUGGUAUCCUGUCUGAAUAUGGGGGGACCAUCCUCCAAGGCUAAAUACUCCUGACUGACCGAUAGUGAACCAGUACCGUGAGGGAAAGGCGAAAAGAACCCCGGCGAGGGGAGUGAAAAAGAACCUGAAACCGUGUACGUACAAGCAGUGGGAGCACGCUUAGGCGUGUGACUGCGUACCUUUUGUAUAAUGGGUCAGCGACUUAUAUUCUGUAGCAAGGUUAACCGAAUAGGGGAGCCGAAGGGAAACCGAGUCUUAACUGGGCGUUAAGUUGCAGGGUAUAGACCCGAAACCCGGUGAUCUAGCCAUGGGCAGGUUGAAGGUUGGGUAACACUAACUGGAGGACCGAACCGACUAAUGUUGAAAAAUUAGCGGAUGACUUGUGGCUGGGGGUGAAAGGCCAAUCAAACCGGGAGAUAGCUGGUUCUCCCCGAAAGCUAUUUAGGUAGCGCCUCGUGAAUUCAUCUCCGGGGGUAGAGCACUGUUUCGGCAAGGGGGUCAUCCCGACUUACCAACCCGAUGCAAACUACGAAUACCGGAGAAUGUUAUCACGGGAGACACACGGCGGGUGCUAACGUCCGUCGUGAAGAGGGAAACAACCCAGACCGCCAGCUAAGGUCCCAAAGUCAUGGUUAAGUGGGAAACGAUGUGGGAAGGCCCAGACAGCCAGGAUGUUGGCUUAGAAGCAGCCAUCAUUUAAAGAAAGCGUAAUAGCUCACUGGUCGAGUCGGCCUGCGCGGAAGAUGUAACGGGGCUAAACCAUGCACCGAAGCUGCGGCAGCGACGCUUAUGCGUUGUUGGGUAGGGGAGCGUUCUGUAAGCCUGCGAAGGUGUGCUGUGAGGCAUGCUGGAGGUAUCAGAAGUGCGAAUGCUGACAUAAGUAACGAUAAAGCGGGUGAAAAGCCCGCUCGCCGGAAGACCAAGGGUUCCUGUCCAACGUUAAUCGGGGCAGGGUGAGUCGACCCCUAAGGCGAGGCCGAAAGGCGUAGUCGAUGGGAAACAGGUUAAUAUUCCUGUACUUGGUGUUACUGCGAAGGGGGGACGGAGAAGGCUAUGUUGGCCGGGCGACGGUUGUCCCGGUUUAAGCGUGUAGGCUGGUUUUCCAGGCAAAUCCGGAAAAUCAAGGCUGAGGCGUGAUGACGAGGCACUACGGUGCUGAAGCAACAAAUGCCCUGCUUCCAGGAAAAGCCUCUAAGCAUCAGGUAACAUCAAAUCGUACCCCAAACCGACACAGGUGGUCAGGUAGAGAAUACCAAGGCGCUUGAGAGAACUCGGGUGAAGGAACUAGGCAAAAUGGUGCCGUAACUUCGGGAGAAGGCACGCUGAUAUGUAGGUGAAGUCCCUCGCGGAUGGAGCUGAAAUCAGUCGAAGAUACCAGCUGGCUGCAACUGUUUAUUAAAAACACAGCACUGUGCAAACACGAAAGUGGACGUAUACGGUGUGACGCCUGCCCGGUGCCGGAAGGUUAAUUGAUGGGGUCAGCGCAAGCGAAGCUCUUGAUCGAAGCCCCGGUAAACGGCGGCCGUAACUAUAACGGUCCUAAGGUAGCGAAAUUCCUUGUCGGGUAAGUUCCGACCUGCACGAAUGGCGUAAUGAUGGCCAGGCUGUCUCCACCCGAGACUCAGUGAAAUUGAACUCGCUGUGAAGAUGCAGUGUACCCGCGGCAAGACGGAAAGACCCCGUGAACCUUUACUAUAGCUUGACACUGAACAUUGAGCCUUGAUGUGUAGGAUAGGUGGGAGGCUUUGAAGUGUGGACGCCAGUCUGCAUGGAGCCGACCUUGAAAUACCACCCUUUAAUGUUUGAUGUUCUAACGUUGACCCGUGAUCCGGGUUGCGGACAGUGUCUGGUGGGUAGUUUGACUGGGGCGGUCUCCUCCUAAAGAGUAACGGAGGAGCACGAAGGUUGGCUAAUCCUGGUCGGACAUCAGGAGGUUAGUGCAAUGGCAUAAGCCAGCUUGACUGCGAGCGUGACGGCGCGAGCAGGUGCGAAAGCAGGUCAUAGUGAUCCGGUGGUUCUGAAUGGAAGGGCCAUCGCUCAACGGAUAAAAGGUACUCCGGGGAUAACAGGCUGAUACCGCCCAAGAGUUCAUAUCGACGGCGGUGUUUGGCACCUCGAUGUCGGCUCAUCACAUCCUGGGGCUGAAGUAGGUCCCAAGGGUAUGGCUGUUCGCCAUUUAAAGUGGUACGCGAGCUGGGUUUAGAACGUCGUGAGACAGUUCGGUCCCUAUCUGCCGUGGGCGCUGGAGAACUGAGGGGGGCUGCUCCUAGUACGAGAGGACCGGAGUGGACGCAUCACUGGUGUUCGGGUUGUCAUGCCAAUGGCACUGCCCGGUAGCUAAAUGCGGAAGAGAUAAGUGCUGAAAGCAUCUAAGCACGAAACUUGCCCCGAGAUGAGUUCUCCCUGACUCCUUGAGAGUCCUGAAGGAACGUUGAAGACGACGACGUUGAUAGGCCGGGUGUGUAAGCGCAGCGAUGCGUUGAGCUAACCGGUACUAAUGAACCGUGAGGCUUAACCUUACAACGCCGAAG